UACUGCUCAUUUCGUUCCAGCAGUCUGGAGGCUCGUUGGUUGCAGCUCUCGUUUCGCUGGAGCACUAGUCAAAAUAAUUGGGUUAACAAUCUUGCCCUUUCUUUCUUUCGGUCUGUUAGGGUUGCCCACCCACUCUUCCGCUCUCUCGCCUCAAAAUGGAGGUUUCCGUUCGUUUCUUCGGAUCGACCGCCGCUCUCCAUCGCCAAUUCCGGCUGAUCACCGUCCCCUCCUUCCCUCUCCCCCUCCCAAACUCUAGAUUUCCUCCGGUUGGCAGCAGCGGCUGCGGCUCGCCGACGCCGUUCGUCUUCCAUCCGUGCUCUCGACUCGCACAACGAUCCGCCGCCGGCCUUUGCUCCUCCCCGCCGCUAUUGGCCAGUUCCUCCCUCUCUCUCCCACCUCUCCUCUCCCUCUCCCAUCUCUUCGCCUCUAUGUCUCCCCAAGAGGGAGCCCUCGCCUCCGAUUCGGGUCUCAAGGAGGGCUUCGUCAACUGGGGUCGAGAUCGGGAUGUCCUGGAGGGGGGAGAUUUAGGGCUUUACAACGAGAAGGGAGCGAUUUGGAGGGUCGUGAUGCUCGGUUGGCUGGGAGCUGAGCCAAAGCAUCUCAACAAGUACGCGGGGUUGUAUACCUCCAAGGGGAUCGAACCGGUGAAGUUCGUCAUCCCAGUGAAGGAGCUCUUGGGUUUUGAUCUGGGGAGGAGGGUACAGGAUAAGAUUGCUCGGUUCACUACAGAGCUUGUUUCUUGGUGCUCGCAGACUGAGGAAGAUGGCAGAGAGCGUUGUCUGCUCUUUCACACCUUCAGCAAUACGGGUUGGCUAACCUAUGGUAGCAUACUUGAGAACUUGCAAACAAGGCCUGAUAUAAUUGAGAAGAUCAAAGGAUGUGUUAUCGACUCUGGAGCUGACCCUGAGAUAAGCCCUCAGGUGUGGGCUGCAGGAUUUUCUGCUGCUUUGCUGAAAAAGCGUAGCUCCUUGAUAAGCUCUUCUGAUGAAAAUAAUGGAGUAGCCAAACAGGAUAUGAAAAUGAAUGGAACGGGCACAAAGGACAAUAGUUCCUCUUUUGCUGAAAUUUUAACUUUAUCACUUCUAGAAAAGUUCUUCACAUUGGUUCUAAUGCUGCCUGACGUAAACCAGAGGCUGAGGAAGACCAUCUCCAUACUGUGGAAUAAACAGCCGCUCUGUCCUCAGCUCUAUCUGUACAGUUCAGCUGACAUGGUCAUUCCAGUCAACUCAGUAGAAAACUUUAUCAAGGAGCAGAAGACCUCAGGAAGAAUUGUACAUGCUCAUGAUUUCGGUUCAUCCCCACAUGUUGACCAUCUAAGGAGCUACCCUCAAAUGUAUUCUGCCAAAAUUACUGAGUUCAUGGAAGAGUGCUGCACUGUGGUAGUCUAAACUAGUGACCCUUUGUUAUCAUUUUUGUUGUGGUUUACUGAUGAGGAUCUGAAGUAAAUAGCAAAAUUUAUUUUUUUAACAGGUGCCACAGGUGAUUUCUUUUCAAAAAAAAGAAAACUUUUAUUAAGUUAAAUAUCUAUUACAUCCCAUACCUUGCCUCAAAGCACAGAAUAGAAUACAAAAAGUAUGGCCAGUUAGAUCUCCACACCUGAUCAACUUAAAAAUCCUUAUCUUGUACAGCUAGGGAAUGAGAACUCCUGUUACCCUGUCUACAAACAUGGACACAAGGCUAGAGAGGACACUACAAGAAAGGAAUUGCACAUGCUUUGCAGGAGGGCAUGGCCAAACUGGAAAUUGAAAAUGUUCUACAAAUCCUCUGGAUUCUAUCCGUCACUCGAGUUCCUUCCUAUUUUUGCUGUCUUUCUGGCCUUUGUGACAAUGUUUUACAGAUUAGUCUUCUGAAUUCACUCUUUCUUUCCUCCAAAAGAAGAUAAAAAAGUUUCUUCCUAUGGGGAAAUUGUGUUCUUCCUUGUUUUUCAUUUUGUAUUAGUUGGCUCUGUUUUCUUGUGCAUAUGACAUUACUGUAUGCUUAUUUGUUAAAUAUUCUCGCCUUUGGUGGGUUUUUUAGCUA